rnacentral:ncRNA from 2 species
AUUAAUCACCGGGGGUGCUAAAAUAUAUAUUUAGCUGAGAAAAACCCUUAUUACCUGAUUGAGAUAGUGCUUACGUAGGGAGAGUGUUUUAUUAUUAUU